rnacentral:rRNA from 1 species
UCAGACGAUGCGUCAUGCAUAUCAAUAAGCGGAGGAAAAGAAACUAACAAGGAUUCCCUCAGUAACGGCGAGUGAAGCGGGAAGAGCUCAAAUUUGAAAUCUUGAAAGGUCACCUUUCACGAAUUGUAGUUUAAAGAAGUGUUUUCUGUUACGAUCGUAAUAUAAGUUCUUUGGAAUAGGACAUCACAGAGGGUGAGAAUCCCGUCUAUGAUUGCGAUUUGUAGCUUUGUGAUACACUUUCAAAGAGUCGGGUUGUUUGGGAAUGCAGCCCAAAACGGGAGGUAAAUUUCUUCUAAGGCUAAAUAUUGGCGAGAGACCGAUAGCGAACAAGUACCGUGAGGGAAAGAUGAAAAGAACUUUGAAAAGAGAGUUAAACAGUACGUGAAAUUGUCAAAAGGGAAGCGUUUGACACCAGUGUUGUUUUCUCGAAAAUCAAUUAAAAAUGGCUCGAUUUUGUAUUGCUGAGACCUUAAAAGCUCACUGUACAUUUUUCGUGUCUUUUUUAAUGCACUUUUCGUUUAACAAGUCAACAUCAGUUUCUUUUGUUGUAAAAGGGUCAUUGGAAGGUGGCUUUCUUUUCGGAGAAAGUGUUUAUAGCCUUUGGCCUCUGCAAUCGGAGAGACUGAGGUCUGCAGCGUAGACUCUUCGGGGUUAGAUACAUUUGUGCUAAGUUAUAGCUUUUUAUAGACAACUUGUUGACUAUAAUUAGUCUUGUAGCUUACUCGCUUAUGCUAUUUUACCUACGCUUAGGAUGUUGACUGAUAUGUAGUCGUA